AUUCCUACGGGAGGCAGCAGUGGGGAAUUUUCCGCAAUGGGCGAAAGCCUGACGGAGCAAUCUCGCGUGAGGGAUGACGGCCUAUGGGUUGUAAACCUCUUUUUUCAGGGAGGAAUAAAAUGACGUGUACCUGAAGAAUAAGCAUCGGCUAACUCCGUGCCAGCAGCCGCGGUAAGACGGAGGAUGCAAGUGUUAUCCGGAAUCACUGGGCGUAAAGCGUCUGUAGGUGGUUUAGUAAGUCAACUGUUAAAUCUUGAAGCUUAACUUCGAAAUCGCAGUCGAAACUGCUAGACUAGAGUAUAGUAGGGGUAAAGGGAAUUUCCAGUGGAGCGGUGAAAUGCGUAGAGGUUGGAAGGAACACCGAUGGCGAAGGCACUUUACUGGGCUAUUACUGACACUCAGAGACGAAAGCUAGGGUAGCAAAUGGGAUUAGAUACCCCAGUAGUCCUAGCCGUAAACAAUGGAUACUAGAUGUUGAACAGAUCGACCUGUGCAGUAUUAAAGCUAACGCGUUGAGUAUCCCGCCUGGGAAGUAUGCUCGCAAGAGUGAAACUCAAAGGAAUUGACGGAAU
rnacentral:rRNA from 1 species